rnacentral:snRNA from 1 species
ACAGUGUCUUCUCUGACUGGAA